GGGACAGACUUUAUCAGAACCAGUGACAACCAAAGAUACAUCCACGUGUAGCAAUCACUUGUACAAAGUAGCGUCUUCUUGUAUGCAGGGAUGGCGUAUCAAUAUGGAAGAUGCUCAUACACACCUGCUGUCACUGCCUGGUGAUAAGGAAGCCAGUUUCUUUGGGGUUUAUGAUGGCCAUGGAGGUGCUAGAGUAGCUGAAUACUCAGCCAAUCAUUUGCAUAGGAAAAUUCUCAGCCAGCCAGAAUACAG